UACAGAGGGGGCAAGCGUUAUUCGGAAUUACUGGGCGUAAAGGGCGCGUAGGCGGCUUUGCAAGUGAGGGGUGAAAUCCCUCGGCUUAACCGAGGAACUGCCUGUGAGACUGCAUUGCUUGAGUCCGGGAGAGGUGAGUGGAAUUCCCAGUGUAGCGGUGAAAUGCGUAGAUAUUGGGAGGAACACCAGUGGCGAAGGCGGCUCACUGGACCGGAACUGACGCUGAGGCGCGAAAGCGUGGGGAGCAAACAGG
rnacentral:rRNA from 1 species